rnacentral:rRNA from 1 species
AAUGAACGCUGGCGGCAGGCCUAACACAUGCAAGUCGAACGAAGCCUUCGGGCUUAGUGCGACGGGUGAGUAACGCGUGGGAACAUACCCUUUGGUACAGAAUAGCCUCGGGAAACUGGGAGUAAUACCGUAUGUNCCCUUCGGGGGAAAGAUUUAUCGCCAAAGGAUUGGCCCGCGUUGGAUUAGGUAGUUGGUGGGGUAAUGGCCUACCAAGCCGACGAUCCAUAGCCUGGUUUGAGAGGAUGAUUCAGCCACACUGGGACUGAGACACGGCCCAGACUCCUACGGGAGGCAGCAGUGGGGAAUCUUAGACAAUGGGCGCAAGCCUGAUCUAGCCAUGCCGCGUGAUCGAUGAAGGCCUUAGGGUUGUAAAGAUCUUUCAGAUGGGAAGAUAAUGACGGUACCAUCAGAAGAAGCCCCGGCUAACUCCGUG